rnacentral:rRNA from 1 species
UACAGAGGGGGCAAGCGUUGUUCGGAAUUACUGGGCGUAAAGGGCGCGUAGGCGGCCUGUUAAGUCGGACGUGAAAUCCCUCGGCUCAACCGGGGAACUGCGUCCGAUACUGGCGGGCUUGAAUUCGGGAGAGGGAUGUGGAAUUCCAGGUGUAGCGGUGAAAUGCGUAGAUAUCUGGAGGAACACCGAUGGCGAAGGCAGGUCUCUGGGCAUUAACUGACGCUGAGGAGCGAAAGCAUGGGGAGCGAACAGG